GGAUGCUCUCAACAGAGCACCUGCUAUGGACUCUUGCUGGUCUUCAUGGCAGAGGAAAGAUAGCUCUGCAGGCUCUCACACUGGCCUAGAGAAAUAGGCCCCAGGAAUAUCAGGUUUGGGAUGCUUGCAGCACAAAAUGACAAGAAUUUCCCCAGCUGAGACAAGAGCGUGACAAAAAAUGACCAGCGGU